UGCGUAGGCGGUCCAGAAAGUUGGGUGUGAAAGCCCUCGGCUCAACCGAGGAAUUGCGCCCAAAACUACUGGACUUGAGGGAGACAGAGGUGAGCGGAACUUAGGGUGGAGCGGUGAAAUGCGUUGAUAUCCUAAGGAACACCAGUAGCGAAAGCGGCUCACUGGGUCUCUUCUGACGCUGAGGCACGAAAGCUAGGGGAGCGAACGGGAUUAGAUACCCCGGUAGUCCUAGCCGUAAACGAUGAGCACUGGGUUGGAGGGUCCUCCAUAGCCUUCUAGCCGUAGCGAAAGUGUUAAGUGCUCCGCCUGGGGAGUAUGGUCGCAAGGCUGAA
rnacentral:rRNA from 1 species